UCUAAGGGAAUGCCGAAAGGCUUUACCGAUGACAAGCCAGUUAAUAUUCUGGCACUGGCUGUAUGACUGCGAAUGUGACGAAAGAGUGAAAGGUACGCGCACUGACGGAAUAGUGCGUUUAAGGGUGUAGAAGCGAUUCGAACCUGAAAGUACAGUGAACCUUCGGGGGAUCUGAUAGUUACUGUAAACAUAUUUCCAAGAAAAGCAUUUCAAGGGUAUCAUACAGGCACCCGUACCGUAAACCGACACAGGUGGUUGGGUAGAAUAUACUAAGGCGCUCGGGAGAUCCAUGGCCAAGGAACUCGGCAAAUUAGACCUGUAACUUCGGGAUAAAGGUCGCUCACGCAAGUGAGCCGCAGAGAAUAGGCCCAGGCGACUGUUUACCAAAAACACAGGGCUUUGCCAAAUCGUAAGAUGAUGUAUAAGGCCUGACACCUGCCCGGUGCUGGAAGGUUAAGGGGGGAUGUUAGCUGCAAGGCGACGCAUUGAACUGAAGCCCCAGUAAACGGCGGCCGUAACAAUAACGGUCCUAAGGUAGCGAAAUUCCUUGUCGGGUAAGUUCCGACCUGCACGAAUGGUGUAACGAUCUGGGCACUGUCUCGGCCAUGGCCCCGGUGAAAUUGCAGUAUCGGUGAAGAUACCGAUUACCCGCAACGGGACGGAAAGACCCCGUGAACCUUUACUAUAGCUUAGCAUUGGAUUUGGGCAGAUGAUGUGUAGGAUAGGUGGGAGACGUUGAUGAUGCCUCGCUAGGGGUAUUUUAGUCGUCCUUGAAAUACCACCCUUUAUCUGUUUGGAUUCUAACCUGAGAAAUCGGGGACAUUGCUUGGUGGGUAGUUUGACUGGGGUGGUCGCCUCCAAAAGAGUAACGGAGGCUUCCCAAGGUACCCUCAGGACGAUUGGUAACCGUCCGUAGAGUGCAAUGGCACAAGGGUGCUUGACUGUGAGGCCAACAAGCCGACCAGGUGCGAAAGCAGGGCAUAGUGAUCCGGUGGUUCCGUAUGGAAGGGCCAUCGCUCAAAGGAUAAAAGGUACUCCGGGGAUAACAGGCUGAUCACUCCCAAGAGCUCACAUCGACGGAGUGGUUUGGCACCUCGAUGUCGGCUCGUCACAUCCUGGGGCUGGAGAAGGUUCCAAGGGUUGGGCUGUUCGCCCAUUAAAGUGGCACGCGAGCUGGGUUCAGAACGUCGUGAGACAGUUCGGUCCCUAUCUGUUGUGGGCGUGGGAAACUUGAGAGGACCUGGCACUAGUACGAGAGGACCGUGCUGGACGGGCCGCUGGUGUAUGAGUUGUUCCGCCAGGAGCAUCGCUCAGUAGCUAAGCCCGGCAGUGAUAAGCGCUGAAAGCAUCUAAGCGCGAAACACCCCUCAAGAUAAGGUUUCCAUAUAGGGUCGCCAAAAGACGAUGGCGUUGAUAGGCCGUAGGUGUAAAGACAGCGAUGUCAAAGCCGAGCGGUACUAAUUGCCC
rnacentral:rRNA from 1 species